GGCUGCGCUCAGUGAGGAUUGAGCAGCCCUGUGGAGAGGCAGACCGGGUAAGGAACUAAGGCCACUCGCCAACAGCCAGUGCCAGUGUGCCAGGCAUGUGAGUGAGCCACCUUGACAGCAGGUCCCCCAGCCCCAGUGUCUACAGCAUCCUUCACUCUCCCCCCACCAGCUCCUAUUGGUCCUUCAGAUUGUCUCACUUCAUGUGCCACUGCUUCCAGGAAGCUUUCCUGAAUGCUCCCAACUGGAGUCAGCCUCCCUGACAGAUGGAGAAUUCCUCAAGAGCAGGACCGUGUCUGUGUUCCCAGCACCUCCCCAUGCCUGGCACUUCGAGGAUGCUCCGUUACUAUUUGUUGAGAGAAUGGAUAAUUGAAUAAAGAAUGCUACCACCUAAGCUGCAGAGCCGUUUGCUGGAAGAAGUGAGGCCAGGAACUGGAAAGCCAGAGAGUUUGGGACACCUGUGCCAGGUGUCUGUCACCGUGCAGCGAGCGUGUCUGAGCACCUGGCAGCUUCCCUCCUUCCCCAGCCGGUCACUCACGGCCCACCUGCAGGACGGGUCCAGGAGCAGGCGGAGCCUCCUGGUGGCCCCACUUUUGCCUCCUCCCCUGCAGUAGAUGCUUCGUUACCAGAAGGCGAAGGUCAGAGUCUGGCCACGGGCCCAGCAUUUCUGGCCCAGUUUUGCCGCAGGAAGCCAACUGUGCAGAAGGUCAGGAUGCUGGUGGGGUCAGAGUGGGAAAGUUAACAUUCCCAAGGGCCUCUAUGCAACAGGACUUCCUGACGUGGACUAUUGCCUUUCUCACAUUACGUGGCCAGAUUGACUUCCUGCCAUUAUUAACUGUGCAAACAUGACAAAGACGUUUAUUUAAUGGGAACGGGCGAAGGACUUUGCUCGACUCUGAGCUUUGAGGAGGCGGUAGGAUCAUGGAAUUAACCACAGCUGAGAGCUGGGAUUCCAGUCCGGGCUCUACCUGCCUUUGCCAUCUGCUAGAACAUGUAACUUCAUGUCUCAACCUCAGUUUCCUUUUCUGUAACAAGUGGGGAAGAAGGGUGGUAAGAAAUGUUGAGUCAGAACUCAGAGUUGCUGGGUGGGUGAAGUGAGGUCAUUAAUGUGGGAAACGUUUUGCGAACUGGAAAGUGCCAUCUGAGUUUUCAUCAUCAGUUUUGAUCUCCUCCUCCAACAAUCUAGCAUCUCAGCCCGCUUUUCCCAGCUGAGAAGGCCUCUGUGGCUCCAGGAGAAGGUGCCCUCUCCCCAGCUGAGGCUGGCUGCUGGCAGGCAGGCCACCAGCCUUCUGCAGUCACCUCCCGCCAGCUCUGGGCCAAAGGGGCCCUGCCCCUCGGGUUCCCUCUGCGAUUUGCUUCUCUGCUGUUUCCGCUCAAGUUCCUCCUCUGCUCUCUGUCCGUGAAAACGCUCUCCCCCCUCACAAUGCCUUCUCUGAUCUGGUUUCUACAUGGCCGAGCGGGACGUUCACUGCAUCUUACAACCCACUGUUCUCCACGUGUGCUCGCGGGCCCAGCGGCAGCAGCAGCAGCCCCCUGGGAAUGUGUGGGAAAUGCACAGUCUUGGGUCCCACCCAGACCAAUGAAGCAGAAAUGAUGAGGGUGGGGCCAGCAGUCUGUGUUUUCACAGGCCCUCAGGGAUUCUGAUGUACACUCAAGGUCCAGGACCAGUAGGCUAACCUGUCUCCCCAACUGGGUGUGAGCUCCCUGCUGGCCGGGGCUGCCUCCCACUGUGGCUCCCAGAGCCUGGCACGCAGAGACCACGAGUGACCAUGAAACUGCCUCACAGACGUGCGCUGGCCUUCCUGCCGCCACACCUGGGCUCACAACAUGCCCUCAGCCCCUUCCUUCCCGCGGCCCUCCCCACAUGCUCACAAAACCUCAAGGCCAGCCGUCUCCCCUGAGUCCUGCAGCGGCCUGUUCUGCCUCAGUCUCCCUCCAUAGCCGCUGCCUGAACCUGCCAGACACCACUCUGGGCUCACCGCCUGGUCACCCCUUGGUGGGGUUGCCCUUAAACAAAAGGUCCUUUCUGCACGCAUCUUUCAUGUGACAUUUUGCACCGACUUGGUUUGUGUUUGAAGGAGCGCUGGUGCAGUAGGGGAUCAUCCUUGCAGCCACAGGGUGGAAGUCACCUGGCAGCUUCACCAGGGAAGUCAAGGUGUGUGUGUCAGUCGGCCUUUGCACCAACAUUCAUAGCAGAAGCAGUUCACACCACGUCCCCCCCUGACCUGAAGGAGAGAGAAAGGGAAGAGGCACUUGAGGUGCUCAGCGAGCUGCAAAGUUCCGUCCUCCAGCUGCUCCAAGCCCUGCGUGGGCCAUGGGGUCUGCACGGUGGGCGGGCAGGCCAUGCAGGUCUCUGCCUGACCCACACCGUGUCAGGGUUUGUUUUUACUUUCCCUGCUCUUGCUGCCACAGCCUAUGUGUCCCCAGAUUCUUCUUUUAGGCCCUGGAUGGGAGCCAGCCUCCUGCAGCUAGGCUGCCCGGGUUCGAACGCUGGCUCUGCUGCCUAGGGUAAGUUACUUGACCAUUCUGUGCCUCAGUUUCCUCAUCUGUAAAGCAGGCCUGGGUGGUAACACUUAGGUCUUAAGUUUCUUGUGCAGACAAAAUCAGAGAGGACUUGCAAAGCCUACAGAGUAGAGCUCCCACACAGGAGCCCUCCAAGCUCUUGGUCCUGAAGUGGAUACCCCUGGCCCAUGAGCCCAGUAAGGGAAGGCAAGAGCUGCCUGCAGACAGUGUGCUCGGGGCCUUGAUGGAUUCUCUGGCAGACCCCCCCAGCAGGGUGCCUCCAGGCUGGGGACCAGUGUGGUCUUCAGGAAACAAAGGCUUAAUGUAAACUGGGCUCUCCUCAGGCAGGAGUUCCCUCAACAUUCCUUGCCAGGUGUGUAGUAUGAUAAGCCCAUUUCACAGAUAAGAGCACAGAGGCACCAAGAGCUGUAUUAACUACCCAAGACGAAGCUAGUGAUUAGUAGAGCAUGAGUGAGGUCUGGGUGACCCCAAAGCCCAAGUUUUACCCCCUACCCUACCCUUCAACAUGGCAGCUACUCUCUAUUAAUCUUAUCUCCACAGCUGAGUCUGGGAACUCCUGAACAGCACAGAAGUAUCAACUAUCAGCCAGGAGCCAAUAUUCCCAGAGCAGACAGCAUAUCAGGUGCUGGUGCCUCUGUGACCUCGUUUAAUCCAGCAGGAAUCCAAUCAAUUUCCCUAUACUACAGAGGAGCAAAUCAAUUCUCAGAGAGGCUGAGUAACCUGCCCAACGUCACCCAGUUAAGAAGUGGCAGGGCUGGGGCCAGAAUCCAGGUCUGUCUGUCCCUGGGUCCCUGUUGGCCCCUUCGCAGCGUGUGAGCUUCCCAGGGCCUCAGGUAGGGAGGGGGUAGAUAGCUACCUUGAGCCAUAAAAUUCCCCUCACAACACGAUAGGUGUUAGCAAAUUUUUAAAAAUUCUUUGCCCCAGAUCAGGUCCUACAUUGGGAUGAAUCAUCUGACUCCAUAUAAAGUAACCUCAGGAUCGCUGGAUUGAUGGGGAGUGUGGGCAGAAGAGGGUUUUUUGUUGUUUUGAUCUCAACUGAAAAGCAAUUUUUAAUGUGCCAAAUGUUGCACACUCAAUCCAAUACACAGAUUUAUUACGCAGGAGGCCAAAGUGUGCUAAUCAGGAGUCAUCAUCUUGCAACAAGAAUAAAUAAGAACAAAGCCAGCAAGCGUUCCUCCCGGGAGCUAAGAAUGUCAUUGUCUAAUGUCUUGUCUUAGCCGCCUCAGCCCACAAACGGCUCCUCCUGUCUUUAGGGGACAACAAUCGCUGCGGAAUUCUGCUGAGCACAGACGGGCCGAGACACAGAGAGUGGGGUUUGUUGCUUGAAAGCAUUUUGCUUUCUGUAACCACUGUUCCCAAGAAAGAGCUGGGACUGUCUUGCCUGCCCUGUCUCUCAUUCCAGACACCUCUGGAGCAACUCAGAUCCUGAAGCCUUGGCUUGAGGGCAAGUAGAGGCAGAACGUAGGGAAGAGAGCUCCGUGCCAGGCAGAAAUCCCCCACCCUUCCUGUUUCCCGACUCUGAGCAAGCCACUCAACCACGCUCAGCCUCGGCUUCCUCUGCUGGAAAAUGGGGAGAGGAAGGGUUCAUUCAGGCGGCUGGGGGUCCAAGAUUCCUAGCCUGGUGCCUGGUGCCUGGCACAGGGUAGUGCCUGUUAUUAAGAAACUGCUGGGCUAAACCAUGGCCAGGGAGAAAGCUUGGUGGAGGUAACCGGGCACCCUCAGAUGGUAGCUCAGAAAUUGUGUUCCUCACUGAGCAGCUUUGAUCAAACCACUUCCCUUCUCAAAAGUGUUCGGUGGCUUCCUGCUCCCCUGAAUGCAAUAUGGGUCCUUUAACCUGACCACCAAGACCCUCAUUCCCCAAAAUGCCUUUUCAGCCAACUUUUCUACACUCCAAAAUGCCACUUAAUAAAUAUUUAAAGAAAGAGUGAAUACAAUGCAUCUAGCAUUGUGUGUCUAAAAAUCUCGGCCCUGGUCCCAAGAGGCGCAUAAGCUAAUUGGGAGCAAGGCCCAAGAUACCAGAAGAAAAGGGAAAUAGCCAUUUAUUUUACAUUUUAAUCAAGGGACCAACUCAGAUCCCAAAUCCUAGUCCUCAUUCUGCCCCAGAUGUCCUGAGGGCCUGCUCUGAUGUGACAUUCGGAGGAUGCCACUUAGGUUAGGGAACAAGGGGGCGCUACAAGUCAUGAACCAUAACACCCAGGCCAGGAGGGCGCUGACAGUCUAAGGGGGAAGCUGCCACCCCAGGAUACCGUAGGUGCUUCUGUUGUCUCACUCUGCACCCCACACUGUGCCACCAAGCAGGGAGAAGGUCAAUAUGAUGCGUUUUGUAGUUUUCUAUGGAGACAACAGCUGACUGCCAACCAGAAUGAUGACAUAAGGAAUCAGCCUUCACUGGUGAAAGGAAAGGUGUUCAAGACUUGCAGACAAUGCAGCAAAUUGGCUGCAUUACUUAGAAACACUCCCCAGGCUGCAUGAACACAGUGUAAGGGCCCAGUGAGGCCUGGAGGCCAGGCCUGCGGUGUUGCUGCCGAGGCUUGAUCCACCCCCCGACCCCCUAGUCUUCCAUGCAGUUGUCCACCUGUGGGGAGGACUUCAGUUGCCUGAUUACAAGGACUUUGAGGACGACGGGAUCCUGCCCAGGAGUACUGUGACCACUGCAGGAGCUCCUCAAAGGGCAGGGAGCCGAGACGCCCUGGUGAUACGCAAGAGUUUGUGCAGACACGGGGGCACCUGGAGAAUGGCAGCUUGGAUUUACAUGUCUCUCUGGGGCAGAAUUUGCAUGGAGACUUGCUUGCAUCAUAACCUGGUCGUGGGGUUGUGGGGAAGGAGUUAACCAGCCCUGACCCCAAACUUCUGCAGGGACUACUCUCAUCCACCCAAACCCGGGAGCCGUGCGUGGCCGCAUGGUCUUCGGUCAGUCCACUCCCUCAGGGCCCUCUGGUCACACUCCUCUGCAGGGCCUUUACUGUGGGCCGCUCUGUCCAGACCCCGCGCUUUCUCCAUGGAAGUGGCAGAUGUGGAUACCUCCAUGGUAUUUGGACACAAGAAAGGCCGCAUUCAUUUAUCCAACUGCAAUUAAAUCUGUUUCAAGACACCCUACUCACAAAACUGGGCAGAAAUUGCAAUAUCAUUCCAAGUCAUCUGUUGGUCCCUCCCUGAGCCCUACUGGCAUAUUAGGGGGCUUUGGAGGUGCUCCCAGGAAGCCACAGUCAGUGGUGCUUUUUUCUGCAUGGUGGGCAGUGGUGCCCACCCCGGGCAGCUGUGGCAGGCAUGCCGGGGAGGUCAACCAGCCCAGCUUGCUGCCCAGCUCAGCACUGCCCCUCCUCCUAUGGAGGGCGUCUCCUGCUGGUGGCCACACUUCUUCCGAGCAGUCAGCCAGAGGGACCUCAGGCUGGGGGGCCUCCAUGCUUGUGCCCAGAAGUCCCAGGCCCCAGGCAGCCAUCUCCACAAGUAGGGCCACCUGAGUGUUUCUGCAUUUGCCAGACCUAUGGAGUCCUAGGGCUCACUCUGUUUUUGUCCUCAUCAGCCACCUGCAACAGGGCCACAACCCU
ensembl:lncRNA